ensembl:miRNA
AAAAAGGUCGUUCGGGUUUUUGUAGCAGAUGUUCUGGAAAGACCUGAAUGAACUUUUUGG